rnacentral:rRNA from 1 species
UACGAAGGACCCAAGCGUUAUCCGGAUUUAUUGGGUUUAAAGGGUGCGUAGGCGGAUUAUUAAGUCAGUGGUGAAAGCCUGCAGCUUAACUGCAGAACUGCCAUUGAUACUGAUGAUCUUGAGUAUGAUUGAGGUGGGCGGAAUGUGUCAUGUAGCGGUGAAAUGCUUAGAUAUGACACAGAACACCGAUUGCGAAGGCAGCUCACUACGCAGAGAUUGACGCUCAUGCACGAAAGCGUGGGGAUCAAACAGG